UACGUAGGGUGCGAGCGUUAUCCGGAUUUACUGGGCAUAAAGAGCAUGUAGGCGGUUGCUUAAGUCAGAUGUAAAAUCCCUUGGCUUAACUGAGGUAUGCAUUUGAAACUGAGCUUCUGGAGAUUGGUAGAGGAAAGCGGAACUCACGGUGUAGCGGUGAAAUGCGUAGAUAUCGUGAGGAACACCAGUUGCGAAGGCGGCUUUCUGGACCAAAUCUGACGCUGAGAUGCGAAAGCGUGGGGAGCAAACGGG
rnacentral:rRNA from 1 species